AUGAGUGGCGAACGGGUGAGUAAUACGUGAGUAACCUGCCCUUGACUCUGGGAUAAGCCUGGGAAACUGGGUCUAAUACUGGAUAUGACAUGUCAUCGCAUGGUGGUGUGUGGAAAGGGUUUUACUGGUUUUGGAUGGGCUCACGGCCUAUCAGCUUGUUGGUGGGGUAAUGGCUCACCAAGGCGACGACGGGUAGCCGGCCUGAGAGGGUGACCGGCCACACUGGGACUGAGACACGGCCCAGACUCCUACGGGAGGCAGCAGUGGGGAAUAUUGCACAAUGGGCGAAAGCCUGAUGCAGCGACGCCGCGUGAGGGAUGACGGCCUUCGGGUUGUAAACCUCUUUCAGCACGGAAGAAGCGAAAGUGACGGUACGUGCAGAAGAAGCGCCGGCUAACUACGUGCCAGCAGCCGCGGUAAUACGUAGGGCGCAAGCGUUGUCCGGAAUUAUUGGGCGUAAAGAGCUCGUAGGCGGUUUGUCGCGUCUGCUGUGAAAGCCCGGGGCUUAACCCCGGGUGUGCAGUGGGUACGGGCAGACUUGAGUGCAGUAGGGGAGACUGGAAUUCCUGGUGUAGCGGUGAAAUGCGCAGAUAUCAGGAGGAACACCGAUGGCGAAGGCAGGUCUCUGGGCUGUUACUGACGCUGAGGAGCGAAAGCAUGGGGAGCGAACAGGAUUAGAUACCCUGGUAGUCCAUGCCGUAAACGUUGGGCACUAGGUGUGGGGAACAUUCCACGUUUUCCGCGCCGUAGCUAACGCAUUAAGUGCCCCGCCUGGG
rnacentral:rRNA from 1 species